rnacentral:lncRNA from 1 species
CCUGAGAGAGCAGAAGAACUAAGUCUUAGCCCUGUCUACCCCACUCGAUCACCGAAUCCCACAUGAGACUAAAAACUCAGUUUGGAAUCUGGAUCACCUUGGUCUAGUUCUCAGUUUGUUUUCUGUGUUAGUCUGGAUUUUUGCCCUCUUAUGUUGAAGUGGGGGCUACUAACACCCACCUUCCUGCCACCCCUUGGCUUCUCCCCUUCUCUCCCCUGGGCAUCCACAGUUUCCCUUACACCCCAGGGCACAAGAAUCUGUAGUUGUUUUCUCUGGCUCCUUAAGCAGAAGGGACAAGAGUAGGGAGGGCUCAUGGUGAGGUCGGGCAGAGUGACCUGGACAAGCUUAGUAGGCUAAGCAACACAAGACCAAGCGAUGCUGGAGCAUGGAGGAGGAAGUGGAGCUUGUACAUACAUGGAGGAGAGGCCCAGGUCAAGUCAACUGGCCCUAGGUGUCUGUUUGGGGUCUCUGGUUCCACCCAUGGAUCCCAGCACCCCCAUGGCCCCCUUGCUCCUGCACACCCUCCCAGUGUCCGCCAUCAUUCUCUUUGGAGCCAUUAUUCAUGUUUCAGGGGAUGUCCCCUCAUACCACUACCAUUCUUCUGACUGCCUGGAUUUUUGUCUUUCACUUCUAUCUUGAAGGAACCUGGCUGAGGUUCUGUGAGAAGCCAGGCCUUCCCAUCACCUCCUUUCCUUUCGAGUGUACUGUCUGCACCCUCCACCUGGGGUGGGGCCCAUCUAUCGUGUUGGGUUCUUCGAGGCUCAGUUCAGGGUUGAUGGCGAUGGUACCUUACUCAGAGUAGGGCCUUCCAGGCACCUAUUGGAUGAAGGGGGCAAUGCUCACUUUGU